rnacentral:rRNA from 1 species
CUCUUAUGGAGAGUUUGAUCCUGGCUCAGGACGAACGCUGGCGGCAUGCCUAAUACAUGCAAGUCGAGCGAACUGUUGG